rnacentral:rRNA from 1 species
CGGGCACAUGAGUUUAUCUUGUGGCUACGGGUCUUACCAUGCAGUCGAACGAACCUUCGGGUUAGUGGCGGACGGGUGAGUAACGCGUGAGAAUCUGCCCUCAGGAGGGGGACAACAGCUGGAAACGGCUGCUAAUACCCCAUAUGCCGCGAGGUGAAAUGAAUUUCGCCUGAGGAUGAGCUCGCGUCUGAUUAGCUAGUUGGUGUAGGUAAUGGCUCACCAAGGCAUCGAUCAGUAGCUGGUCUGAGAGGAUGAUCAGCCACACUGGGACUGAGACACGGCCCAGACUCCUACGGGAGGCAGCAGUGGGGAAUUUUCCGCAAUGGGCGAAAGCCUGACGGAGCAACGCCGCGUGAGGGAUGAAGGCCUCUGGGCUGUAAACCUCUUUUAUCAAGGAAGAAGAUCUGACGGUACUUGAUGGAUAAGCCACGGCUAAUUCCGUGCCAGCAGCCGCGGUAAUACGGGAGUGGCAAGCGUUAUCCGGAAUUAUUGGGCGUAAAGCGUCCGCAGGCGGCCCUUCAAGUCUGCUGUUAAAAAGUGGAGCUUAACUCCAUCAUGGCAGUGGAAACUGUUGGGCUUGAGUGUGGUAGGGGCAGAGGGAAUUCCCGGUGUAGCGGUGAAAUGCGUAGAUAUCGGGAAGAACACCAGUGGCGAAGGCGCUCUGCUGGGCCAUCACUGACGCUCAUGGACGAAAGCCAGGGGAGCGAAAGGGAUUAGAUACCCCUGUAGUCCUGGCCGUAAACGAUGAACACUAGGUGUCGGGGGAAUCGACCCCCUCGGUGUCGUAGCCAACGCGUUAAGUGUUCCGCCUGGGGAGUACGCACGCAAGUGUGAAACUCAAAGGAAUUGACGGGGGCCCGCACGAGCGGUGGAGUAUGUGGUUUAAUUCGAUGCAACGCGAAAACCUUACCAGGUUUGACAUCCUGCGAAUCUCUUGAAACAGGAGAGUGCCUUCGGGAACGCAGUGACAGUGAUGCAUGACUGUCGUCAGCUCGUGUCGUGAGAUGUGGUAGUCCCGCACGAGCGCACCCACGUCUUUAGUGCCAGCAUUUAGUGGCACUCUAGAGAGACUGCGGUGAUAACCGAGAGGGUGAUGACGUCAGUCAUCAUGCCCUACAUCUGGCUACCACGUCUACAUGCUACGGACAAGGGCAGCAGUUCGCGGGAACAAGCAAAUCCAUAACCUGGCUCAAUUCCAUCUUAGCUGCCACCUUCCCCUACUUGAGGGGGAAGUCCUAUAUAUAUCCGGGGGCGCACAUAUCUAGCGGUGUUAAUGAU